rnacentral:lncRNA from 1 species
AAAAAAAAAAAAAAAAGAGGUAUAAAAUAACAAAUACCGCAUUAAUAGCAAACGAACGUAAUGUCAAACAAGAGUUAAAUAAAAACACAUAAAACAAGCCAUCAAACCAGCGCAUUCACUAGUAGUACUAUUCUACUUUAUGUACUCUCAAAACAAAGUUUUUUUUUUUCUUUUUUUUUUUUCUUCUUUUUCUCCCAUUUUACUUUUAUUAAAAAAAAUACAUGUAUUUUUAUACAUACAUACGUACAUAUAUGUAUUUAUGAACAUUAUAAAAAAAAAGCUUCAUUACUAUACCUUUUAUAAAAAAUGGUUACAUAGGAGUAACAGAGGUAGCAUACGCUAUGUGUCAAGUUCUAAAAACAUAGAACGUUUGUUAGAUGGAUUAAAAACACAAGGUGAUAACCUUAACGUGUUAAGUUUAGUUAUAAGUAAAAAUAAUUUGUGCUAUUGUUUACAACAAAAUAAAAUUAUAAAAAAAAUUGGACUAAUUAAUAUUAAAAAAAAUUCCAAUUCUUAUAAUUACGAAGAUAAUAAUUAUUAUAAUGAUGCUGGUGGUGGUGGUGAUGGUGAUGGUGAUGAAAAUAAUAAUACUAAUUUUAUGAAUUCCAAAAAAGGAAUAGAAAAAAAUAAAAGCCAAAGAGAACGAAACAUAAAAAAGAACAAACGCGAAAACGACACUUUGCAAUAUAGUUAUGACAAAUAUGAUAAUCCUUUAAAUUUUAACUUAAAAGAAAUAUUAACAAUUUUAAAAUUUGUAAAAAUGUAUUCAAAUAAAGAAGGAUAUAAUCAGAGUGUACAAAAAGAAGAACAAUUUUCUUUAAAAAUGAAUAAUACAUCAAAUGCAGUAGUAAACAAUAGGGACUCGUUAAAGGAUGUUAAAUUAGCUAGCUCCAAUAGCUCUCUGUCUUAUGAUAAAAGUUUAAGCAAAAAUAACCAGAAAGGUAAAAAAAUAAACAAUAUACUUAUUAAUAAGAAGAAAACAGUUGAAGAAGAAAAAGAAGAAGGGGAGGAAGAAGAAGAAGAGUAUGCCUUACAAAAUAACCAGGAUGAAACAAAAGAAAAUUGGAUUAUAG